ACCCUUCAUGCGCUUCCCCUGCCCCGGGCGCGCCGGGCCUGGAACAGGACUGCCACUGUUGAGUCUGUGGGAAUAUGAAUCAGCAGCAGCAGAGAAUGGCUGCAGUUGGGACAGACAAAGAGCUCAGUGACCUGCUGGACUUCAGUAUGAUGUUUCCCCUGCCAGUGGCUAAUGGAAAAAACAGACCCACGACCCUUGCAAGCACUCAGUUUGGAGGAUCAGGCUUGGAUGAAAGACCGGGAUCAGGUUCCUGGGGAACGGCAGAUCAAAACAGCUCCACGUUUGACCAAGGAAGGCAGAGCUAUGGCGAAGGCCCCCACUACGGUGAGCACCGGGAGCUGCCAUCCCACAACAGCAUCUCCUCAUCUCCAUUCCUGGGAGCUGGACUCGUGGGGAAGAGCAGUGAAAGAGCCUCAUACUCCACGUUUGGAAGAGACACAGGGAUGCCAGGACUAAACCAGCCUGGUUUCCUGCCCAGCGAGAUGGGAAUCGCCAGCCCGAGCACGCUUUCCCCCACUGGGGGCAAAGGAGGGUCUCAGUAUUUUUCUUACCCCAACAAUCCUCGCAGGAGAGGUGCUGAGAGCAGCAUAGAUGGACAGCCCAAAAAGGUUCGGAAGGUGCCUCCUGGACUCCCCUCCUCGGUGUAUCCAUCCAACUCAGGUGAUGACUACAGCAGGGAUCCAGCUGGAUAUACUCCCUCGAAACCUCCCAGCACUGUGUAUCCUGGAGCCUUUUACAUGACAGAUGGACUCCAUAACUCGCCAGACCUGUGGAGUUCCCCGGGUGCCAUGAGCCAGUCGAGUUACGGUGCCAUGCUGGGCAGCUCCUCGUCCCCGCUCCCGCAGUCCAGUGGCUUCAACAGUUUACAUCAGCAUGAACGCAUGAACUACCAGCUGCAUUCAGGAGAGGUGAACGGUGGACUCCCCUCGGUGUCCGGCUUCUCCUCAGCGUCCACAGCGUACGGAGUGUCCAGUCACACCCCCCCGAUCAGCGGCACAGACAACAUGAUGGGUAACAGAGGAACCACAGCCGGGAGCUCUGGAGACGCUCUUGGGAAGGCUCUGGCCUCGAUUUACUCCCCCGACCACUCUAGCAAUAACUUCUCCUCCAACCCCUCCACCCCGGUCGGGUCCCCACAGGGCCUUGCAGGCUCGUCGCAGUGGCCGCGGGCGGGUGGAGCGGGUGCCUUAUCUCCCAGCUACGAAGGGAGCCUCCACACUUUGCAAAACAAAAUGGAAGACAGGUUGGAUGAAGCCAUCCACGUGCUGAGGAACCACGCUGUGGGCCAGACCUCUGCCAUGCCCAGCAACCACGGGGACAUGCACGGGCUGCUGGGCUCAGCACCAGCACACAGUGCUGCUGUGGGCAGCCUGGGCCAGGCCUUCCCCGCCUCAGUCAUGGCCCUGGGGAACAGGCACCCGAGUCUGGUGGGAGGAGGCCACCCUGAAGAUGGGUUGUCCAGCAACCCCAGCUUGCUCCACAACCAUGUCACUCUUCCAUCACAGCCCAGCUCGCUCCCAGACCUCAGCAGGCAGCAGGACACGUACAGUGGCUUGUCCGGGGGGCUGGGGCGCAGCAGCGUCUCCUCAGGAACGAGCGAAAUAAAGAGGGAAGAGAAGGAGGAUGAAGAGAACACGUCAGUGGCAGAUAACUCAGAAGAGGAGAAGAAGGAGCUGAAACCCUCCCGGAACAGAACAAGGUGCUCUUUGAACAGUCAAGAUGAGGAUGAGGAGGACGAUCUUCUUCCCCCAGAGCAAAAAGCCGAGAGAGAGAGAGAAAGGAGGGUCGCCAAUAAUGCCCGUGAGCGCCUGCGGGUUCGUGACAUCAACGAGGCCUUUAAAGAGCUCGGACGCAUGUGCCAACUGCACCUAAACAGCGAAAAACCGCAGACCAAACUGCUAAUCCUACACCAGGCCGUAUCAGUCAUACUGAACCUGGAGCAACAAGUUAGAGCAGUACAGACGAGGCCUUGUCACUGGAGGACAAAGAUCUGAGGGACCGGGAGAGGAGAAUGGCCAAUAACGCCAGGGAAAGGGUGCGUGUGCGGGACAUUAACGAGGCCUUUAAAGAACUGGGACGCAUGUGCCAGAUGCACUUAAAAACGGACAAAGCACAGACCAAACUGAUCAUCCUACAGCAAGCGGUGCAGGUCAUUCUGGGCCUGGAGCAGCAAGUACGAGAGCGCAAUCUGAACCCAAAAGCGGCCUGCUUGAAGCGUCGGGAAGAGGAGAAAGUGUCCGGAGUGGUUGGAGACCCCCAGAUGACACUGUCAGCUUCACAUCCUGGUCUAGGAGACGGUCACAACCCUGUUGGACACAUGUAAAGAUCUUUUUGUUCCUCUGGAUACGGAGAUGUGUAGGAAGAAAACCCUCGGUGUGACCUGCAAGCCUGUUGAACCAUAAACUGUAGUACUGCUCAUACUGACACACACAGACGGAUCCUGGUGUGACGUAAGGGGUGGAAAAAACACUUUGUCAGAAACAAAAUGGAAACAAAAAAUUGCCUUAAGUAUAAAGUGCAGAACAGUCAAUACAUAUCACUCAGUUAGGAGGGGGUGGCGUGUUCUCUUGGCUUGUUCACAAGCAGCCAGCAGCAAAAUUGUGCCUAAGCUUGAUAUUUCUUUUUUAAAAAAAAAGAACAUUAGUUAUGAGAUUUUUUUAUGUAGAACAAAUAGCAAUGCCUUUUGGUUUUUUUAGCUUCUUUUGCAUAUGUUUUGUAAGCAAUGAAAAUUUUUUUUUUUGUAUAAAAACAUGUCUUGUACCCUCCGCUUUUCUGCUGCUGUUUCUAUAGUUAACGUUGCAUCUUUAGGAUCAACCAGAAUAUUAAAAUUGUAUUAAGAGAGACUGGAUAUAAAGAGAGGAAUUCUCAGAUUCGGCUCGGAAAGCCACUAAAAGCGAAUGUAGCCACAGUGAGGGAAUGUUCUUCCUUGCCUGGCUUGUACCUUCCACGACAAAAAACAAACAAACUCAUGUGCUGAAUUCACCGUCUCUUUGCUUCGGCCACUUCUGAUUUGGGAAAAGGAAGUUAAUGUAAAGCGAGUGGCAGCAGUGCUCCCGCUCCCCCGGGCCAUGACCCAGCUGCUCAGCAAGGUUUGCUUUGUCCCCGGAGAUCCCGAGGCCCCACGGCUCCGUGUGCGAGAGGACACGGCUGUUCCAGAGCGUCACCGUGGGGAGGAUGAGCUGCUGGGAGAGAGCAGGCCCUGGGUGCAGGAGAACCAAGGGACUGAGGCGCUUCCAGGUGAGCAGAGCAGCCAGGGAUGCACGAGGAAAGCGUCUCUUCCCACAUGCCAGAGCUGCCAGAGACACUUCCAGGAGCAGCACUGAACAAAGACCAACUGAACAAAGCUGGAGCACUGGGAAGAGCUGGAGGCAGCCGAAGCACGGCAGCAGCACUGGGAUACAGGGCCAGGAAGCUGGGCAGCAGCAGACCUGAGGAUGCUGGAGGCAGGAAAGGAGCAAUGAUCUGGCUCACUCCAGCCUUGGCAAAGCCAUGACCAGCAGCAGGAUCCCUUCUUGUAUCGGAAAUGCAAAAUGCUGGCUCGGGAAGAAGGGUGGCUUCACACCCUGCUGUCACCUGCUGUCACAUCUCCCAGGCAUCCUUGGAGGCAAACUGAGCUCAGCACUGUGCCAUGGGACAAGAGUGGGCACCAUCACCUGCACCUGGUCACCUGGGCUCCUCUCUUGGCACUGGGAAGGAGGGCAGCAGGAGUGCUCAUCCUGCACCCUGUGCUCCAAGGGCAGCCAUCCCUUCACUCCAAGGAAUUCCCAGUCACUCCAGACCACUCUGGUGUGCUCAGCAGGAAGAGAAUCCCUGGCAGCCCCUCUGGCUCCAGAGGUGUGGAGCAAACAGAGGUGCUGGGCAGUGCUGAGCUGCAGCAGCUGGUCUGGAAAUGGCCAUGGAAAAAUGUUCACCAGGAAUUUACUCUUGGUUCUUCCCUCUCCUUCCCCUUCUGAAACAUUUUGUGCCUGGCUCCUCUCCGCUCCACAGAGCCCAGUCAGGCAGGGUGGCACACGGGACGUGGGUGCUGGUCUGGGGGGAUGUGGGGAACUCCCCUCUCCCCUGCAGGGUCCAUCUCUCCCGUGCUGCUCCAGCCUGGGCUCCUGGGGAAGCUGUGUUGCUUUGGCAUGGGGAAAGGGAGGGACUGGCAAACAGAAUUAGGUCCUGUGGCACUUCCCAGCAGCCCCAGGCUUUGCCAUAACCUGCUGUUCCUCCAUGCUCACAGCUGUGCUUCGUGCUCUGGCAAACCUUGCUGGAAGUGCUCAGGGCAGUGCUUAUCUCCCACCCACACCUGGGCACCAUGGCCCUCGUUCCCUGUCACAGCUCCAAGCUGAGCCACUCCAAGUGCCAGGGCAGGAUGGGACUGUCCCUGCUGCCCCUGGUCCUGCCCUGGAGCUCCCCAACAUCCAACCACCGCUCUGAAGCUUUUGGGUGCUCCUGGCUUUCCCCAGCUUGCUGCUUCCACCAUUCCUUCUGCAUGGAGAGAGCUCAGCAGCCCCAGCUCUCUCCCUGGGAAGGCCAGGAAAGCUCAGUGGUUCCGGUAACCCAGGUUCUUGCCUGUGUCAACAGACACAUUUUAGCCUAAUCAGCUCAUCAGGUUAUGACACUUCCCUCCCUUGGGUUCUUCUGGCUGCUGAAGCAGUUGGCAAGGAGGGGGAAGAGGUUUUCCUCCAUGUGUGACAGCCUUGACUCCUAUUCAUGCUCUGGUGGGCAAACUGGAAGGCUCAGCAUCUGCUUUUUGUUUACUUCACGAGAGUUCCUGCUCCAUUAGUGAGACAGUGCUGGGGCUGCAAAGUACCCACUGCUCAGGGGUUUUGGCUGGCUCAGUGCCCCUGUCCCAGGGCCAGGAGGGAUGGAGCAGUGUCCCAGCCCUGGAAAGCUUGAAACCCUACAAAAAAUAAAAGUGCUUCACAAACCUUUUGAAUUUGCCCCAAGAAUUGGAGGUGGCAGUCAUGGACAACUGGACUUAAAGGGACUAGCCAAGAAAAUUCCAUAAAUUCAACAAAAUUGGAAAUCUGAGAAGAUGUAUGAGUUGUUCAUACAACUGUGUGAGUUGUUCACAAAUUUGCUGAACUUCAUCCCCUCUGAGUCCUGCAGGCCAGGGGGGAAUCCCAAUGAGCCAGAACCUUUCUCAUCAUCCCUGAAUCCCCAGGCAUUGCAACAAAAAUGGGGUUUUUAAGCGGCAUUUUGGUGACUUAAGACGUUACUUUGACAGCAAAUCCAGCCAACUUCCUUCCAUGGCAAGGCUUGGGUGAAGAUCCCUGAGCAUAAGCCCUCGGAGCCAGGGUUUGGAGAGAUCAUCUCAAAAGCACAAUGUAGGGGGUGGCAGUGCUGUCCCUGGAGCUGCCUCGAUGGCAGCCCAGUGGCCUCAGUGGCAUCUCUGCUUUCCAGGUGCUCAGGGAACAAUUGGGAAGAGCAGCAAGGAAAAAUUCCUUUGUCUUGCCAGUGUGUUUGGCUCAGUGUGAACAUGGUGCCUGUAACCUGCCAGGGGAAGUGGCUUUUCUAAAAACUAUGACUGCCAGGUGCUUUCCCCAAAAUACCACCAGCCCAGCCCUGAAAUGUCACCCUGUAGCAAUGAAACUCUUGUCUUUAGCUGUUGUGAUCAGCGAGGGCCAGGCCUGCACCCUCCCCAGCCCACAGCCCUGCUCCAUUCCACUUGGGAUCUUACAGAUCCCCAGACCUGCUCCUCUGCCUGGCUGUGUGUCCCCCCCAGCAGUGGUGCUGCCAGGAGAGGUGUCACGGGUGGGUGACCUGCUGUGCAGUGCCAUUUAUUCCAUUUUCUCCUUCCUCUCUUAGCCUUUGCUUGCAUGGCUGCUCCUGGGGACGUGUGCCCUCCUCUUUGGGGGCCGCUGAGCCCUGCCAAAGCUUCCUUCAUCAGACAGAGGGACUGUCUUCCCUUCUGUGCAGCUUCUAGUUCCUCUUUCCCCAGGCUGCAUCUCCCAGUGAAGCAGCACAACUGGGACACUGCCAUGGGACAUUUCUUGUGUCCCCAGCCCAGAAGCCCCCUCUUGCCUCGCUCAGCCAGCCCUCUGCCUCCCUGCACACAAGUUGUGCAUGCCACAGUACUGGGGAGUGUCUGGAGUCCAGUCUGUGAACAGUAAAACUGCAGAUUUUUGUUUUCUCCCUUUUCACCUGCUUUUUCCCCAGAGCAAAGCAGCUGCAGCCUCGCAUGUGUUGGUGCUCAGGCAGUGGUGGCAGCCUGGCUGCUCAAGCUCACAGCCCCAGGGAGCAGAAUUCCAGCUGUUUGGCAUGUUUGGCUGUCUGCCUGUGAGCCCUCAGCAGAUCUACUCACAGCCCCAGCCAGCUCAGGACUGUCUGCUCCCCUGCUUUCACACACAGAGGUGUGCUGGCAGCAAGGAUGGAAUCAAGCCGUGGUUUCCUCAGAGUCAGUGCAGAAACUGCUCUCCAAGGUCCUUUGUGUCUCACCAGUGUCCCUACUGAAGCCAGCAGAGCCUUUGGGCACUUGCUGGGUGGUUCCAGUUGUGGGGACUUGAGAAACAGGGGCAUUGGAACCCCCCCAAUCCCCUGCCCCCCUUGAGCUUUGCUGCCAACUUUGGGGCCAGUGGAACCCGAGUUCCUCUUGCAGGCCCUGCUGUGCUACAGUGGGGGGCCUGGGCCAGCUCCAGUUCAUCCCUGGGCUUUGGGAGGUGAAACAAAACUCGGGAUGGAGCUGAGCCUUCAGCCCCCAGCUGCAGUGUUGGCUAACCCAGAGCAAGCCCUGGCCACUGGACUCUCCCUUUCCUGCCCAACACCAGCAAUAGCAAGGCCUGAUUUCUGUACCCCGAGCUUGCACAAGGUCUUUGCCCUGUUAAAAAUCCUAUGCAAAUCUUAUCCCUCUCCCCUUUCCCAGGGCUCUGCAGAUCCCAGCCCAGCCCAUUCUCUCUGCUCUUUUCUGAGAUUGCUCCUGAGUUCCUGCUCCCCUGCUGCCCUCAGGGUCCAGCUUCAUUCCUGGCAGAUCCAAAAGCAUUUGGAGACCUGUGCCCUGGAGCUGGGAGGGGGCAGAUGAGACUGUAGGAACACCCAGCUCAUACUGAGAACUGAACUGGAGGGGACAAGGCCUGGUCCUGGGGCUCUUCCACACACCCUCCACCCUCCUGUGCCUUCUGCUCAAUGCUGGUGGGGCACUGCCAGCAUCCUUCAUCCCCCCGGCCCCCCCAAAAGGAGAAGCUCAGUUCCACCUUGUUGCUGCCCAGACUGCCCUGUUCUAACACCUGAGCCUCAGGCUUGGCUGGGGCUGCUCUUCCUUCAGCUGCCCCAAGCCUGAAGGGGUGUUUCCCUUCCUCCCACGAUCCCCAAUCUCUCCAGCCAGCACCUCUGAGCUGUUGCCCUUUGCAGAGGGGCAGCCCAUGCCAGCAGCUGCCCAUCAGCUGGGGUGCAGGCAGGAGGAUUUGGGGGGUGGGUGCUGCCGCUGUCCCACAGCACGGCUGCCUCUCCCUGUGCUUGGGGCAGGUGUUGGGGGACCUGGUGCUCUGUACUUUGAUUUCCAGGACAGUUCAGCCCUUUUGGGGAGCCAGCACUGCUGUGCCUUGGCCUGCAGGUCUCCCAGGAGGAGGUGGGCUCUGGUUAGGAGGGUGCAGGCUCCACGUGAGCUUCUGCCAAACCUUGUGUGUCCAUCUGCAGCCCUGCUCCAGGCCAAGGGCAGUCCUGUCGUGGGUCUCCACAUCGGUAUCUGUGUCCCCCUGGUUUUGUACCCCUCUUGCUCCUCAGGGCUCUCCAUUCCCACCCUGGCCCAGACAAGCCCCUGCCAUGGUGGAGGGGGCUGUCACACACCCUGGGACAGCUCAGCACGGCUGCAGCACCAGCUCAGGAGAGCAAAGGGGUUUCUGCUCCCCAAGGGGGUGUUCUGGUACCAAGGCCUUUUGCCAAAGAGCAUCCCCUGCAUCCCUGGGCUGAGCCCGGGGGAGCCGUGGAGCUCCGGGAGCAGCGAGCUGGGGACACUGCGGGUCUCCCUUCCCGGGACCACGUCUUCCCAAGUCACUUGAUCCCACCAGCUUUUGAGCAAACCUUGUGGCAUGGAGCCACUCAGGAGGGAAGGAGCCAUGGGAAACCACGCACCAGCCACUGUUGGUGUGCCAGGAGAGGGGAAAGAGGCACCUGGUGAGGCAGGACAGGGAAGAUCCCAACCCCACGCGUGGGAAUGACCCGUGGGGUGCCGAGGCCUCCAGCUCUCUGGGGAAACAAAGCAUUCCUGGGAUGUUCUUUCUCUAUAUUUUUGUAGGAAUGGGGGGUGGGAGAGCAGAUGGGAGAUGCCUGCGGAAGUUGUUUAUUUUUAACCCUGUAGAAAGUUUUGGGUUGUUUUUGGUUUUUGGCCUUUAAAAUAAAAAAUGGUCCUUGCUUUUGAUGUUUAUGCUGCCUACCUGUAAAUCCAGAUGUACUUAAGUGGCUGAAAUCCUUGUUCUUAAAUCAGAUACACAUUAUAGUUUUGAACUAUAUAUAUAGUAAAUAUAUAUAUAUAUAUGCCUAACCCAGCAAAAAAAAAAAAAAUAAAUAAAGUAUUUGGGGGUGGGAAAUGCGUUGCUCUUUGAAAUGAAUCACAAUUGGGGGAUGAAAUUGUGUUUCUGAGUGCCUCAAGAUAUGAAUUGUUUUCCUUUUUUUAAAUAAUUUUAUACAAGUGUCAAAACAGCUGGCUGGAUUAUUUGGAAUUUUUAAAUAAUCCUAACUUUUUUAAAGUAGAUUUUGAGAACUGUCCUGUAUAUAACAGUAAUGUAGCAAUAAAUGUGACAUUUUAUAACAAUA